CGCACGGGUGAGUAACACGUAUCCAACCUGCCGUCUACUCUUGGACAGCCUUCUGAAAGGAAGAUUAAUACAAGAUGGCAUCAUGAGUCCGCAUGUUCACAUGAUUAAAGGUAUUCCGGUAGACGAUGGGGACGCGUUCCAUUAGAUAGUAGGCGGGGUAACGGCCCACCUAGUCUUCGAUGGAUAGGGGUUCUGAGAGGAAGGUCCCCCACAUUGGAACUGAGACACGGUCCAA
rnacentral:rRNA from 1 species